rnacentral:lncRNA from 1 species
CUGGAGGCGGCUUCUCCGGCCGGGCAGCCCCGCCACCGCGACGCCGGGCCCCUGACGUCACCCGAUUCGCCAGGAAAUGAACUUUUUAAUAAUCCGAGGAGGGAGGAAAGCCCUCGGUCCCCUCAGCUCGGGGGGCACCCGGCCAGGCCCAGCUCCGCCUGCGCGCCCCGGUCACCCUCUCCCAAGGCCAGCUCUGGGCAGUGGCCGGGGUUGGGGGCCUCCUCCUGCCUCUGCGACCGGCUAUCUGUUCGUCUGUCUGAGGCCCCGGCUCAGCUUACAAUUCAUCAACGCAUAAAAGGCGGUCGCCACGAAGCCUCCAGCCUCUUUUGCCGCCGCGGAGCCCAGCAGGAGCUUCCCAAAGACAACGCGUCCCCAAGGACUAUCCCCCGUGUCCGGCAAGUCUGUCCUGCUGGAGCCCAAACCCCAGGACUCAGCGCAGGAGGGCCCCCGACCCGCUGGCCGGCCGCGAGGCGGUGAGCGCCGGAGCCGAGCGGAAGCUUUCCGCCAGGCUGCGAUCGGCGCCUCGGUUCGCAGGGAGGUGGCCGUUCCCAGCCCUUGGGAAAACAGGUAAUUCGCCUUUUUCCACCAAAGGCGCGGUUCAAAUUAUCCCCCGUUCUGGGUGGGUCUUCAGUUUCAUCACUGCGAACUGGGCUUCAAGCCCCUCCAGGGCAGCAUCCUGGCCACUGCAGAGCUGGGGGUGACCCCUGCGGACCGGCCUCUGCCCAAACGGCAGCCCAGCGUUGCCCGCCAGCCUUGCGCAGCACGGAGCAGUGGGCAAGGAUUUAAUUACCCCGCUCGGCGGCUCAGAAAAUCGCCGCGAAGAGGAG